CACUUCCUUCAUCUCUGUUGAUCUGGCGUGACCUUGCCAGACCACGACCCUCCCCUGGCUGGCACACUGUGUCUCUUGUCUCGUGACUGACUUCUUCACUGCCACCCUCUCUUCUCUCCACUCUCUAGUGAAUUCCCACGGUCUUCAACACAAGGCCUGAACUCCUUGGUGCUGCUCAUAGAGCCACGCAUGUGAUGGCCUCUGCUCACGCCUCCUGCUACGGCCUCUUGCUGUUCAGAUGGAAACAUCCCUCAGUUCCUCAUACUCUCGCUCCUUUUAGCUCUGGGGUUCAAGUCAAAUCUAGUCAAGAUUAGGCAGGCUAGGGUCUGCAGGAGCUGGAUCUCCUAGAUGGAAUGGUGGGAGAGGUCCGGUCAGUGAGCACAGGUCAGGCCAGAAAUCUCGUAAGGCAGGUGUGGACUUGGGGCGGGGACUGGGGCUGGGCUCUCAACUUGGAGGGUCAGGGAUCGGUGAGCACCAGGAAUGGGGCAAGGUUUAGGACCAGGGUAAAGGUCAGGGUCUGUAAGCAGUUAGAGCAAAUACCGUUCCUGCAAUUCAAGGCAAUACUUGCACAUUUCAAAAGGGUGGAUGUUAAACUGCCCUGCACUAGAUUUUAAGUUUCCUCUAGUCAGAAGGACACUCACAGGGAGCAUGAGGAAGAGUGACUGAGGAGCGUAUGGCUCCCAGAACCCUGUGGGCUUCUUGUGUUAAAUACAUCUGUGCGCAGUGUACGACUCCUGCCUGCUGACCUUCUGUGUUCUAAGAUGAUGUUUUAUUAUUCCCAGAAAAAAUAAUUGAAGCCACCAGGUAUGAGUUACAGCACAAUGUGCAUGUGUUAGAAUACGCUGUAACCCCAUUUUCUCUGUUGUCAGAGAGAGAGAGUACUGGAGUCUGCACCCAUGGCUUGGAAGCCCCGAGAGACCUACAAUCCCUAACCAGCUCAGCCAAAGAUCCCUCAACGCAACGACAUUACAGUGGCUUGGCGUCGAAUGUGGAACUGGAGACGGCUCCUCCCCCAUUAGGAUCUGAUGAAAGCUGGACAGACAAAGUUCUGGUGUGAUUUGGCCAAAAUCUGGAGCUUGAACAUGGAUUGAGAGAAAGAAAAGGGGAGCAAAGAACUCCCCAGCGAGGAAGCAAGAAGAGGCCAUGAGAAGGAUGGCCUGGGCCUGUGUCCAGGAAGGGCCUCAAGUAACUCUGCUGAUAUUAACAGAGGCACAUUAUCCUUGCAUUUUGUAUUAGUUAUUUUUCUCAUUGUGACAAAAUGUCCAUCAAAAACAGCUUAGGGAAGGAUUGGUUCUGGCUCACAGUCUAAGAACGAAGGGAUUCAGGGCCUUAUGAGGGAAGGCAGGGAAGCAGGAGGCAGCUGGUUACAUGGUGUCCACCGUCAGGAAGCAGAGAUGAAAGCUGGUGUUCAACGCCCUCUUUCUCCUUUUCCCCAGCCCAUGGGAUGAUGUCACCCACACUCAGGGUGGCUCUUCCUUCUUUAGUUAAACUUUGCUGGAAAACUUUCCCAUAGACAUGUUAGAGAUGUGUUUCAACAGAUCUUAAAUCCAACGAAGCUGCUAACGAAGAUUAACCAUCACAUAUACAUCAGCUGUAUUAAACAUUUUGGCUGUGUGUGUUGGCUCCCACCUUUAACCCUCAUCCCAGGCUGCAGAGGCCAACCUGAUCUACAGAGAGAGUUCCAGGCCAGCCUGGGCUAAAGAAUGGGUCCUUAUCUCAAAAAACAAAACAAAACAAAUUUUGGUUGGGGAGCUGGAGAGAUGGCUCAGUAGAGGAUUCCAGUUUGGUUCCCAGUGUGCACACAGGGCAGCUCACAACCGUCUGUAACUCCACAGGAUCCAACACUCUCUUCUGGUCUCUGUGGGCAUGGGCAUCUGCACACUUGUGGCAUUCACCCCCCCCCCCCCACACCUCCCCCCUCCACACGUACACAUACAAUAAGAACAUUUAAGAGGCAGGUGGAUCUCAGUGAGUUUGAGGCCAGCCUGGUCUAUGUAGCUAAUACCAGGCCAGCCAGGGUUACAUAGUGAGACCCUGUCUAAAAAUUUGUUUAAGUAAAAAUAUUUGUUUUUGGUUGGUUGGC